rnacentral:rRNA from 1 species
GACGAGGGGUCCUAGCGUUGUUCGGAAUUAUUGGGCGUAAAGCGUGUGUAGGUGGCUAUCCAAGUCAGUUGUGAAAGCCCCGGGCUCAACCCGGGAAGUGCUUCUGAUACUGUUUAGCUUGAGUACUAGAGAGGAUAGUAGAAUUCCAGGUGUAGUGGUGAAAUACGUAGAUAUCUGGAGGAAUACCGGUGGCGAAGGCGGCUAUCUGGCUAAGUACUGACGCUGAGACACGAAAGCGUGGGGAGCAAACAGG